GACGAACGCUGGCGGCGGGCUUAACACAUGCAAGUCGAACGGAAAGGCCCUGCUUUUGUGGGGUGCUCGAGUGGCGAACGGGUGAGUAACACGUGAGUAACCUGCCCUUGACUUUGGGAUAACUUCAGGAAACUGGGGCUAAUACCGGAUAGGAGCUCCUGCUGCAUGGUGGGGGUUGGAAAGUUUCGGCGGUUGGGGAUGGACUCGCGGCUUAUCAGCUUGUUGGUGGGGUAGUGGCAUACCAAGGCUUUGACGGGUAGCCGGCCUGAGAGGGUGACCGGCGACAUUAGGCCUGCGGUACGGCCCAGACUCCUACGGUAGGCAGCAGUGGGGAGUAUUACCCAGUGGGCGGGAGCCUGAUGCAGCAACGCCGCGUGCGGGAUGACGUCCUUCGGGUAGUAAACCGCAUUCGCCUGUGACGAAGCGUUAGUGACGGUAAUGGGUGAAGAAGCACCGGCUAACUACGUG
rnacentral:rRNA from 1 species